UACGUAGGGGGCAAGCGUUGUCCGGAAUUAUUGGGCGUAAAGAGCGUGUAAGCGGUCCGGUAAGUCAGCUGUGAAAGUCAAGGGCUCAACCCUUGAAAGCCGGUUGAUACUGUCGGGCUAGAGUCCGGAAGAGGCGAGUGGAAUUCCCGGUGUAGCGGUGAAAUGCGCAGAUAUCGGGAGGAACACCAAUGGCGAAGGCAGCUCGCUGGGACGGUACUGACGCUGAGACGCGAAAGCGUGGGGAGCAAACAGG
rnacentral:rRNA from 1 species